rnacentral:lncRNA from 1 species
CUUGAUUGAAAUGAGCUCUAUUUUAACAUCAGGGCCAUCAGAAAAAAUAAGAUAAUUUUCAAAUCAAAAUUUGUCACAAGAGCUGUAGUAUGGCCUUGUUUUGAUUUUGAUUUUUUUUGUUUGUUUUGUUACCUAGGAUUGAACCCAGGAGCAUUUAACCACUGAGCCACAUCCUCGCCCAUUUUUAAUUUUAUUUAGAAACAGGGCCUCACUUAGUUGCUUAGGGCCUAGCUAAAUUGCUGAAGUUGGUUUUGAACUCGUGAUCCUCCUGCCUCAGUCUUCCAUGUCAAUGGAAUUACAGAUGUGGGUGGGCCACUGUGCCUAAGGAUUUUAAUAUAUUUUUAAGUAAGUCUGUUACAGUGGAUAAUAUUAAAUUGUUUCAGUUUGCCCUCUGUAUACAAAUCGUCUGUAUACAAAUUCAAGAAUUUGUAACUCUAGUACACUAUGCCUUUAUUCUUUUAUGUACUGUUUAAAUACUUCACUGUUUCAGAAUACGAAAACUCAAAACUACCUUAUUUGUUAGGAAGUUGUAUAUUUUCUGAUCUCUGGCAAGGAACAGAACAUGGAAUUUAUUCCAUAGUGAGAUGUUUUUAAGUUUUACAUCAAUGACCUCAGUCUCAUCCUGAGAAACUUUAAUUCUUGCAAAUUAGAACAUAUUACAAGCUUAAUGUAAUAAUAAGGGACUUCUGUUUGUGCCAAUUUACUUGCGGUUUUGUUGCCAAUUUGUGUGAGAAAUUAUUUUGCUGUUUAGGAGGUAGAUACCCCAAAUUUUGAUAAAUGUUAAUA